rnacentral:rRNA from 1 species
ACGACCAUACCAUGCUGAAUAUACCGGUUCUCGUUAGAUCACCGAAGUCAAGCAACAUCGGGCGCGGUCAGUACUUGGGUGGGUGACCACCUGGGAACACCGCGUGUCGUU